CCCAGACUCCUACGGGAGGCAGCAGUGAGGAAUAUUGGUCAAUGGGCGCGAGCCUGAACCAGCCAAGUCGCGUGAGGGGGGACGGCCCUACGGGUUGUAAACCUCUUUUGCCGGGGAGCAACGGGCGUCACGUGUGGCGCCACUGAGAGUACCCGGAGAAAAAGCAUCGGCUAACUCCGUGCCAGCAGCCGCGGUAAUACGGAGGAUGCGAGCGUUAUCCGGAUUUAUUGGGUUUAAAGGGUGCGUAGGCGGAUCGUUAAGUCAGUGGGCAAAUUGAGGGGCUCAACCCCUUCCCGCCAUUGAAACUGGCGUUCUUGAGUGGAAGAGAAGUAUGCGGAAUGCGUGGUGUAGCGGUGAAAUGCAUAGAUAUCACGCAGAACCCCGAUUGCGAAGGCAGCUCACUGGACUGCAACUGACACUGGGGCUCGAAAGUGUGGGUAUCAAACAGGAUUAGAUACCCCCGUACU
rnacentral:rRNA from 1 species